rnacentral:rRNA from 1 species
CAGCCGCCGCGGUAAAACGGAGGGUGCAAGCGUUAAUCGGAACUACUGGGCGUAAAGCGCACGCAGGCGGUUUGUUAAGUCAGGUGUGAGAUCCCCGAGCUUAACUUGGGAACUGCAUUUGAAACUGGCAAGCUAGAGUCUUGUAGAGGGGGGUAGAAUUCCAGGUGUAGCGGUGAAAUGCGUAGAGAUCUGGAGGAAUACCGGUGGCGAAGGCGGCCCCCUGGACAAAGACUGACGCUCAGGUGCGAAAGCGUGGGGAGCAAACAGGAUUAGAUACCCGCGUAGUCCCUGUCUCUUAUAC